AACCGAGAUUCCCCCAGUAGCGGCGAGCGAACGGGGAGGAGCCCAGAGCCUGAAUCAGUGUGUGUGUUAGUGGAAGCGUCUGGAAAGGCGCGCGAUACAGGGUGACAGCCCCGUACACAAAAAUGCACAUGCUGUGAGCUCGAUGAGUAGGGCGGGACACGUGGUAUCCUGUCUGAAUAUGGGGGGACCAUCCUCCAAGGCUAAAUACUCCUGACUGACCGAUAGUGAACCAGUACCGUGAGGGAAAGGCGAAAAGAACCCCGGCGAGGGGAGUGAAAAAGAACCUGAAACCGUGUACGUACAAGCAGUGGGAGCCUCUUUAUGGGGUGACUGCGUACCUUUUGUAUAAUGGGUCAGCGACUUAUAUUCUGUAGCAAGGUUAACCGAAUAGGGGAGCCGAAGGGAAACCGAGUCUUAACUGGGCGUUAAGUUGCAGGGUAUAGACCCGAAACCCGGUGAUCUAGCCAUGGGCAGGUUGAAGGUUGGGUAACACUAACUGGAGGACCGAACCGACUAAUGUUGAAAAAUUAGCGGAUGACUUGUGGCUGGGGGUGAAAGGCCAAUCAAACCGGGAGAUAGCUGGUUCUCCCCGAAAGCUAUUUAGGUAGCGCCUCGUGAAUUCAUCUCCGGGGGUAGAGCACUGUUUCGGCAAGGGGGUCAUCCCGACUUACCAACCCGAUGCAAACUGCGAAUACCGGAGAAUGUUAUCACGGGAGACACACGGCGGGUGCUAACGUCCGUCGUGAAGAGGGAAACAACCCAGACCGCCAGCUAAGGUCCCAAAGUCAUGGUUAAGUGGGAAACGAUGUGGGAAGGCCCAGACAGCCAGGAUGUUGGCUUAGAAGCAGCCAUCAUUUAAAGAAAGCGUAAUAGCUCACUGGUCGAGUCGGCCUGCGCGGAAGAUGUAACGGGGCUAAACCAUGCACCGAAGCUGCGGCAGCGACGCUUAUGCGUUGUUGGGUAGGGGAGCGUUCUGUAAGCCUGCGAAGGUGUGCUGUGAGG
rnacentral:rRNA from 1 species